rnacentral:rRNA from 1 species
UACAGAGGUCUCAAGCGUUGUUCGGAUUCAUUGGGCGUAAAGGGUGCGUAGGCGGCGCGGUAAGUCGGGUGUGAAAUCUCGGAGCUUAACUCCGAAACUGCAUUCGAUACUGCCGUGCUUGAGGACUGGAGAGGAGACUGGAAUUUACGGUGUAGCGGUGAAAUGCGUAGAUAUCGUAAGGAACACCAGUGGCGAAGGCGGCUCACUGGCCCGGUACUGACGCUGAGGCGCGAAAGCGUGGGGAGCAAACAGG